GACGAACGCUGGCGGCGUGCUUAACACAUGCAAGUCGAGCGGAAAGGCCACUUCGGUGGUACUCGAGCGGCGAACGGGUGAGUAACACGUGAGUAAUCUGCCCCUGGCUUUGGGAUAGCCACCGGAAACGGUGAUUAAUACCGGAUACGACCACUUCUCGCAUGGGAUGGUGGUGGAAAGUUUUUUCGGCCAGGGAUGUGCUCGCGGCCUAUCAGCUUGAUGGUGAGGUAAUGGCUCACCAUGGCUUCGACGGGUAGCCGGCCUGAGAGGGUGACCGGUCACACUGGGACUGGGACAGGGCCCAGAGUCCUAUGGGAGGCAGCAGUGGGGAAUAUUGGACAAUGGGCGGAAGCCUGAUCCAGCAACGCCGCGUGAGGGAUGACGGCCUUCGGGUUGUAAACCUCUUUCAGCAGGGACGAAGCGCAAGUGACGGUACCUGCAGAAGAAGCACCGGCCAACUACGUGCCAGCCGCCGCAGUAA
rnacentral:rRNA from 1 species